AAAAAAAUUCUGAUUAAAUAUGCUCAUUGCCUUAUAGAAAAAAGGAGUUUGCAUAUAUAUAUAUAUAUAUACCAUAUACAUAACUUCUUUAUCAAAAAAGGAAGAAAUACACAGCAAAAAAUGGAAGUACAUAUUUUUUUCCAUAUCUGGCCUACUACUCUACCCGGAGCUAUACUAUUCUGCAUCCACCACAUCAAGCGCCGCCGAGCGCUCGCGGGUCAUCAAUCAGACUUCAUCGCCAUGGCUUUUCUCUGGCCACUGAUCGGGCAAACUUCUUUAAAAUAAAGUUAAAAUAAAGACGACGCUGGAGACGCCCUUGUCGAGGUGUUCGCUGCCGCUGCUCGGAUUGGAGGCGCCAGCGUGGGGGGGGGGUCACAUCCAGGCGAGGAGGAGGCCAGCCAUCGGUAGCGCUAGAUCCCGUGACGAAGAUGACGACAUUGGAGUGGCCGACAAACCAGGCGAGGCAGGGAGGUCGGGAAUGGGCCGCCGGCAUCCGGAUCCGUCCGGAUCAGGCCGGAUCCCGACGAAUUUGAAGGAGAACGGUGGCUGGAAGGUGUCCUCGGGUGACGCCAUGGGCGCUCGGCCUCCAUUGCUGCAAGGAGAGGCAGAGAGAGAGAUGAGAUAGGAGAGCAACCGAAAGAGAGGCAGCGCGAGGCGGGGCUCACCGGCGUGCUGCGGUGGGAGGCGCAGGCGACGACCCGUCGCGCAGCCGGCGACGGUCAGCGGCGGAGAGCCUAGAAGGUACUCGAGUGCGCUGCUGGUAUGGUGCUCGUGUUCAUGUGAGAGGAUAAGGUACCAACGAAAGCACAAA
rnacentral:lncRNA from 1 species